rnacentral:rRNA from 1 species
AGAACGAACGCUGGCGGCGCGCCUAAUACAUGCAAGUCGAGCGAGAAGACGUAGCAAUACGUUUGUAAAGCGGCGAACGGGUGAGGAAUACAUGGGUAACCUACCCUCGAGUGGGGAAUAACUAGCCGAAAGGUUAGCUAAUACCGCGUACGCUCCUUGGACUUCGGUUCAGGGAGGAAAGCGAUACCGUGGGUAUCGCGCUCUUGGAUGGGCUCAUGUCCUAUCAGCUUGUUGGUGAGGUAACGGCUCACCAAGGCUUCGACGGGUAG